AGUGAACGCUGGCGGUAGGCCUAACACAUGCAAGUCGAACGGCAGCACAGUAAGAGCUUGCUCUUACGGGAGGCGAGUGGCGGACGGGUGAGGAAUACAUCGGAAUCUACUUUUUCGUGGGGGAUAACGUAGGGAAACUUACGCUAAUACCGCAUACGACCUACGGGUGAAAGCAGGGGAUCUUCGGACCUUGCGCGAUUGAAUGAGCCGAUGUCGGAUUAGCUAGUUGGCGGGGUAAAGGCCCACCAAGGCGACGAUCCGUAGCUGGUCUGAGAGGAUGAUCCGCCACACUGGAACUGAGGCACGGUCCAGACUCCUACGGGAGGCAGCAGUGGGGAAUAUUGGACAAUGGGCGAAAGCCUGAUCCAGCCAUACCGCGUGGGUGAAGAAGGCCUUCGGGUUGUAAAGCCCUUUUGUUGGGAAAGAAAAGCAGCAGGUUAAUACCCCGCUGUUCUGACGGUACCCAAAGAAUAAGCACCGGCUAACUUCGUG
rnacentral:rRNA from 1 species